UAUAUUAGAAGUUUGGGAUUUCUUUUUCCAUAUACUCAAGAAUGUGUCAGAAUUGGUUUAGAGUUAUUUCUUCAAGUCUUGCUCAUCUCCAAUCCUCUCAAGCUUAAGGGCUACUACGAUAUAACAGUAUGUUGUGCACAAAAUUCAGUUGAAAUUUCCCAUCAUGGAUUCCUCUGAUUGCUGCGGACAGACAAUACGUGAGCCCUGGGGAAAUACCUUGAUAGGCCCCUUUAUUCAGACUAUGAGAUCUUAGGCGCAAUCAUGACAUUGGGCUGCAUAUGUCAUACAAGGUUUACUGAUCUCCCACAGCAGGUCAUCAUGUGACUCUCUGACAACAAUUAGUUUUACAAAGAGCAAAUAAGUUAUAUAAUGAAGUACUUCAGCAAAGUUGUAAAGUAAUUAGUGGGACAUUAAGUAGGCGUUUGGUAAUGUGAUAUCCAUCACGACAUGGAAACCUGAGAUGGAAUCAGUGUUUGGACAUGCGAUUUUAUGCUAAUUUCAUAUCAUGAGAUGAGAUUCCAUAUU